GCUUGUCUCAAAGAUUAAGCCAUGCAUGUCUCAGUAUAAGCUUCUAUACGGCGAAACUGCGAAUGGCUCAUUAAAACAGUUAUAGUUUAUUUGGUGGUCAACUCUUACAUGGAUAACCGUAGUAAUUCUAGAGCUAAUACAUGCGUAAAUACCCAACUGCUUGUCGGACGGGUAGCAUUUAUUAGAUUGAAACCAAUGCAGCUUCGGCUGGUAUUGUGUUGAGUCAUAAUAACUGUGCGGAUCGCUUUUUAAGCGAUAAAUCGAUUGAGUUUCUGCCCUAUCAGCUUUGGAUGGUAGG
rnacentral:rRNA from 1 species